UGGGGAAUUUUGGACAAUGGGCGAAAGCCUGAUCCAGCAAUGCCGCGUGUGUGAAGAAGGCCUUCGGGUUGUAAAGCACUUUUGUCCGGAAAGAAAUCCUUGGCUCUAAUACAGUCGGGGGAUGACGGUACCGGAAGAAUAAGCACCGGCUAACUACGUGCCAGCAGCCGCGGUAAUACGUAGGGUGCAAGCGUUAAUCGGAAUUACUGGGCGUAAAGCGUGCGCAGGCGGUUUGCUAAGACCGAUGUGAAAUCCCCGGGCUCAACCUGGGAACUGCAUUGGUGACUGGCAGGCUAGAGUAUGGCAGAGGGGGUAGAAUUCCACGUGUAGCAGUGAAAUGCGUAGAGAUGUGGAGGAAUACCGAUGGCGAAGGCAGCCCCCUGGGCCAAUACUGACGCUCAUGCACGAAAGCGUGGGGAGCAAACAGGAUUAGAUACCCUGGUAGUCCACGCCCUAAACGAUGUCAACUAGUUGUUGGGGACUUCAUUUCCUUAGUAACGUAGCUAACGCGUGAAGUUGACCGCCUGGGGAGUACGGUCGCAAGAUUAAAACUC
rnacentral:rRNA from 1 species